rnacentral:rRNA from 1 species
GAUGAACGCUAGCUACAGGCUUAACACAUGCAAGUCGAGGGGUAACGAGAGGAAAGCUUGCUUUCCUUGUCGACGACCGGCGCACGGGUGAGUAACGCGUAUCCAACCUGCCCCCAACUAGGGAAAAACCUUGCGAAAGUAAGACUAAUACCCUAUAAUUUCCUCAGAUGACAUCUGACGAGGAAUAAAGAUUUAUCGGUUGUGGAUGGGGAUGCGUCUGAUUAGCUUGUUGGCGGGGUAACGGCCCACCAAGGCAACGAUCAGUAGGGGUUCUGAGAGGAAGGUCCCCCACAUUGGAACUGAGACACGGUCCAAACUCCUACGGGAGGCAGCAGUGAGGAAUAUUGGUCAAUGGGCGGAAGCCUGAACCAGCCAAGUAACGUGCAGGAUGACGGCCCUAUGGGCUGUAAACUGCUUUUAUACAGGAAUAAAGUUAGCCACGUGUGGUUAUUUGUAGGUACUGUAUGAAUAAGGACCGGCUAAUUCCGUGCCAGCAGCCGCGGUAA